rnacentral:rRNA from 1 species
AACGAACGCUGGCGGCGUGUUUAAGACAUGCAAGUCGCACGGGAUAAGACAUGUAGUAAUACUUGUUUUAUUUAGUGGCGCACGGGUGAGUAACACGUGAAUUACAUGCCCUAUAGUGGGGAAUAGCCCAGGGAAACUUGGAUUAAUACCCCAUGGUAUCGAAAGAUUAAAGGUGGCCGCAAGGCUGUCGCUAUAGGAUUGGUUCGCGCCCUAUCAGCUUGUUGGUGAGGUAACGGCUCACCAAGGCAAUGACGGGUAGCUGGUCUGAGAGGACGACCAGGCACACUGGAACGGAGACACGGUCCAGACACCUACGGGUGGCAGCAGGCGAGAAUAAUUCACAAUGGGGGCAACCCUGAUGGUGCAGCGCCGCGUGGAGGAUGACGGUCUUCGGAUUGUAAACUCCUGUCAUCUGGGAGAAAGACCUGACGGUAAAUAGCCGGCAGGGUUGAUAGUACCAGAAGAGGAAGGGACGGCUAACUUCGUGCCAGCAGCCGCCGUAA